CGCAUCGAAAGGUGCGUGCCGCUUGCGGCCGGCGCACAGGUGCUGCAUGGCUGUCGUCAGCUCGUGCUGUGAAGUGUUGGGUUAAGUCCCGCAACGAGCGCAACCCCUGCUGCCUGUUGCCACCACGAGAGGUGGGGACUCAGGCGGGACCGCCGGUGACAAACCGGAGGAAGUGGGGACGGCGUCAAGUCAUCAUGGCCCUUAUGUCCUGGGCUACACACGUGCUACAAUGGCCGGUACAGAGCGCAGCGAGGCCGCGAGGCGGAGCGAAUCGCUUAAAGCCGGUCCCAGUACGGAUUGGAGUCUGCAACCCGACUCCAUGAAGUUGGAAUCGCUAGUAAUCGCGCAUCAGCAUGGCGCGGUGAAUACGUUCCCGGGCCUU
rnacentral:rRNA from 1 species